rnacentral:piRNA from 1 species
CAGGACACAUUACGAUUUAUGGCUGUCUA